rnacentral:rRNA from 1 species
CAGUAGCCGCGGUAAUACGUAGGGUGCAAGCGUUAAUCGGAAUUACUGGGCGUAAAGCGUGCGCGGGCGGUUAUAUAAGUCAGAUGUGAAAUCCCCGGGCUCAACCUGGGAACUGCAUUUGAGACUGUAUGGCUAGAGUGUGCCAGAGGGGGGUAGAAUUCCACGCGUAGCAGUGAAAUGCGUAGAUAUGUGGAGGAAUACCGAUGGCGAAGGCAGCCCCCUGGGAUAACACUGACGCUCAUGCACGAAAGCGUGGGGAGCAAACAGGAUUAGAUACCCCAGUAGUCCCGUCUCUUAUACC